GGAAGACAUCCGGCUGGAUUAGGGCGCUGUCUUGAAAACAGCUGGCGUUAACGCGCUUCGGGGUUCGAGUCCCUGGUCUUCCGC
rnacentral:tRNA from 1 species